rnacentral:rRNA from 1 species
AAUAGAUACCCUGGUAGUCCACGCCGUAAACGAUGAGUGCUAAGUGUUAGAGGGUUUCCGCCCUUUAGUGCUGCAGCUAACGCAUUAAGCACUCCGCCUGGGGAGUACGGCCGCAAGGCUGAAACUCAAAGGAAUUGACGGGGGCCCGCACAAGCGGUGGAGCAUGUGGUUUAAUUCGAAGCAACGCGAAGAACCUUACCAGGUCUUGACAUCCUCUGACAACCCUAGAGAUAAGGCUUUCCCCUUCGGGGGACAGAGUGACAGGUGGUGCAUGGUUGUCGUCAGCUCGCGUCGUGAGAUGUUGGGUUAAGUCCCGCAACGAGCGCAACCCUUGAUCUUAGUUGCCAGCAUUCAGUUGGGCACUCUAAGGUGACUGCCGGUGACAAACCGGAGGAAGGUGGGGAUGACGUCAAAUCAUCAUGCCCCUUAUGACCUGGGCUACACACGUGCUACAAUGGAUGGUACAAAGGGCUGCAAACCUGCGAAGGUAAGCGAAUCCCAUAAAGCCAUUCUCAGUUCGGAUUGCAGG